rnacentral:lncRNA from 1 species
AUGAGCAGCUUCUGCUCCUUCUCCUCCUUGGACCGCUUAAAACUGACGAGGGUGCCACAGGCUGGGGCCCCCGCACCUCCUGGUGGGGCCAGCACAGCUGCCCAGCAGGUCUCUGCCUCCCCUAGUGAGGCACUGGCCCCAGUCUUGACUCUGCACAGUGUCCUCAAACUCAGCCUCUGCAGGGUUCCCUGUCACCUUACAGACAUAUGUCCACCCAGGUCCCGGUGCCGGCCGCAUGGCCCCUGUCCACUAUCCACCUCUUCAGCCCCUCCUCACCUCAUCCCUCCCUGUCUCCCCCUCUCUGUCACACUCCCGGACGCUCAACAUCCAGCCUAGCCUGGUACCUCUGCCACCUGCUGUGAGGGCUGUGCCAUCCUGCCCAGCUGCCCCACAGGGGCCUUUCUAGAGCCCCAGCCAGGCCGUUGGCCUCCCUCUGCUCCCCAGCUCUGCACCACCUCCUGGAGGCCACCUGUGACCUAUCUUGCCUGCUGGAUGGGAACUCCCUGUGGGCAGGGACAGAUGGUGGCCCGCAGCUCGCUGUUGAAAAGCAACAGUACGUCCUUCUCGCGGGCCUCGUCACUCAGCGCCCGGCGGGCCUCCUGGGCCUCCCUGUGCAGCCCCUCCCGGCUCUCCUCGACGCCCUGCAGCUCCUGGCGCAGUGCGGCCAGUCCCUCCUGGGCCACGGUCAGCUGUGCCCGCAGCCUCUCAGCCUGGGGAGGACCAUUCAGCUCUAGAGGCCCGCUGGGGACCACUGCUCCAGGGAUAGCCACAGGGGCCUGUGGCCUCUGACAUGGUGUGGCAGGCACAGGUGCCCUGCCCAACUUGGUCCCCAUGCGCUUUGCUCACCCCAUGGAGCCACCAAUCCCUAGUGCUGCGGAGGCUGCAGGGCGGCUUCCACGGGCUGAGGCAGGGCCAGCCUAAGAGCCCAGAAGACCCCACCUUGAGCCCCUGGGCCCGGCCCCACGCUGCGGCCUCUCUGGACCCCCAGGACGCUGACCACUGCCGCUAGGUCCUGGAGGCUCUCGCGUAGGGCCGUGGUCUCCCUCUGAUGGGCUGUGAUGGCAUCCUCAAACUGGGCCUGGAGGGCCUUCAGCUCCUCAGUCGUGGCACUGAUGGUGGCCUGCGGGGAGAAGGGAGCCCACGGUGGCACCAGGGAGCUGGGCCCAGCAGUGGAGGGUGAGGCUGCUGGGAUGAGGAGACAUCCACGGCCCCUGACAGCUGUGAUGUCGCCCUCUCCCGCUGCGCAGUGCCCUGGGGAUGGGGCACAAGCCCUCCAUCCCGGCUCCGAGUCACCGAGCGUCCCCCAAGGCCCCGCUGCCUGGACGCCCCGGCCCCCCAGCAGGCGGCCUGCGCGUGCCUCUGUGCAGUCAGUGAGAAGGGCUCCCGUUCAGAAUGGGCAGAGAAGGGGGCUGCCUCCCGCGCCUGGCACCAUGGCCUGUGUUCUGUUCACUGCACACUGAACCAUACAUUCAACGCCAGUCAGGACUCAAUGUGGGUGUCCUUUCCUGCCGAGAGUUUCCUCUGGUGCAGGGCCAGCCGCCUCGGGUUGUUUCUCCUUUGGAAGGAUCUCUCUGGGACAGGGCCUGAACAGGACGGGGUAUGCUUGUGAGAAAGUUGGGGAGUCUCGGGGGAGGGAAGAGGCCCCCCUCUAAGGAGAGGCUGUGGCAGAAUGCUGAGUGCAGAGGCUCCCCUGGACACAGCACGUUCAUGUUCCUGUCUGCACAUCCCUGCCACUGGGGAGGAGGGGCAGCUCCUACAGAGGCAGCCCUGGGCCCUGGGCCCUUUCACCCUCUGAGCGCCUGCCCUCUGUCCGACAUCGUCCCACCUCUGUGUCUGCACUUGGGCACGUCCCUGGGGUAUCCUCCCCUUCCUCUGCCUGUCUAAAAUCCUGCCCUUUCCCAUGCAGUUUGGGGGCCUUCAUGAGCCACCCCCAUCCCUCUAGGCAACACUUGAUGCAGUGCAGAGAAGAAAGCUUAAAAGCCCGAAAAUGCUCCAUCUCCCUGAUGGUGUGGGAGAUGCGUGUGAGCGAGACACCCUCAGCUCCAAGGGUGGCACGCUGCUCCGUGGACCAGGCUGUGGAAGCAAUGCCUGUCAAAUCCACACAUGUAUAUUCUCUCUAUGCCCAGGCCCAUCUGGGGGAGGGCAGCCCAGAGACACGUGUGCACCUGUGUGGGCUGACCUAUGCGCAGUGUCACCAAUGUCUGUGACAUUGCUGUAAUGGCAACAAAGCUGGAGGCAACCCAGAUGCCCGUGGAAGGAAGAACAGCCACAGGAAGACCCAGUUCUGGCAGCUCAGCAUGCAGCCCAGAAACAGAAGAACAAAGCUGCAGAUACACAGCUGGGAAAGGCCACCGAGAUGCUUUGAUAAGUGAGAAGAGGAAAGCCCAGGAGCCGGCAUAGACUUUUCAUUCCUUUUGUAUUAAAAAUGCAGUGUUGGGGAGGUAACGCUGUAUAUUUCUGUUUGCAAGCAAUCUUUGGAGGGUGUUGCAUAACAGAAGAUGUAUCAGGUCUUUGUCCUGGAUCCUCGGAGGAAGCUUCUAAACCCUGGGGGUUUCUCAGAAGUGUGGAGCGUCUGCAUUAGUCCUGGCGGGCCCCUGGGACCACACCUGAGUUUAUGCUAAUGAGGUGACUCAGGGUGGGUUCCUACUGAAUUUCAGGAUGGGGACUGUCUGCUGAAAGACCCGUUAUUAGAGGGUUGGGGCUUUGAGCCACGGGAUGUCAGCCCAACCUCCCAGCAGUCAGAGAAGUGGGCUUCAAUCACCUAACCAAUCACUCCACCGAUCACGUUACACAGUGAAACCCCAAUAAAACUCUGGACACCAAAAUGCAGUGGAGCCUCCUGGCUGCUGAGCACACUGGGGUGCAGGAGGGUGCUGGGCUGGCUCACGGGGAGGGUGCAGCAGCCCCUGUCUGUGACGUGCCCACACCUUGCCUGUGUGUCUCCUCUUCUGGCUGGUCUUGAAUUCCAUGUUUGAUAAUGAAUCUCUAAGAGUAACAGGAGGCUUUCCUGAGUUCUGUGAGUCAUUCUAGUGAAUGGCUGAACCUGAGAGAAUCAUGGGAACCCCCACACUUGUAGUCAGGUGGUCAGAAGUGUGGGUGGCCUGGAGACCCC